GGAUCGAUGAUGACACCCAAAAUGCAUUCCUUGGAAGUUGAACAAAAUGAGUGAGAACUGUAUGCCAUCUCAUCUCAUUGAACUGAGGUCC
ensembl:snoRNA SNORD116 Small nucleolar RNA SNORD116